rnacentral:rRNA from 1 species
AGAGUUUGAUCAUGGCUCAGAUUGAACGCUGGCGGCAGGCCUAACACAUGCAAGUCGAACGGCAGCGGGAAGUAGCUUGCUACUUUGCCGGCGAGUGGCGGACGGGUGAGUAAUGUCUGGGAAACUGCCCGAUGGAGGGGGAUAACUACUGGAAACGGUAGCUAAUACCGCAUGACGUCUUCGGACCAAAGAGGGGGACCUUAGGGCCUCUUGCCAUCGGAUGUGCCCAGAUGGGAUUAGCUAGUAGGCGGGGUAAUGGCCCACCUAGGCGACGAUCCCUAGCUGGUCUGAGAGGAUGACCAGCCACACUGGGACUGAGACACGGCCCAGACUCCUACGGGAGGCAGCA